GUUUGAUCCUGGCUCAGAGCGAACGUUAGCGGCAGGCUUAACACAUGCAAGUCGAGCGAGAAAGGGGUUUCGGCCCCAAGUAAAAGCGGCGGACGGGGUGCGUAACACGUGGAUAAUCUGCCUCGUGGCGGGGGAUAACAGCCCGAAAGGACUGCUAAUACCGCAUGUCACGAUGAAGGUCUCGGCCUUCAUCGAAAAAGAGGGCGCCGCAAGGGCUCUCACCACGAGAUGAGUCCGCGUCCCCAUCAGCUAGUUGGCGGUGUAAUGGACCACCAAGGCUUAGACGGGUAGCUGGUCUGAGAGGAUGGCCAGCCACACUGGGACUGAGACACGGCCCAGACUCCUACGGGAGGCAGCAGGUGGGGAAUAUUGGACAAUGGGCGAAAAGACCUGAUCCAGCCAUGCCGCGUGAGUGAU
rnacentral:rRNA from 1 species